rnacentral:rRNA from 1 species
AUUGAACGCUAGCGGGAUGCUUUACACAUGCAAGUCAAACGAGUGGCGGACGGGUGAGUAAUAUAUGGGAACGUGCCCAGUAGCGGGGGAUAACUACUCGCAACAGUGGCUCAUACCGCAUACUAUGUGAACGGCCCAUAUUGGAUUGGCUAGUUGGUGGGGUAAAGGCUCACCAAGGCAACGAUCCGUAGCUGGUCUGAGAGGUGGACCAGCCAAACUGGGACUGAAACACGGCCCAGACUCCUCCUGGAGGCAGCAGUGGGGAAUUUUGGACAAGGGGGGAAACCCUGAUCCAGCCAUCCCGCGUGUAUGAGAAGGCCUUCGGGUUGUAAAGUACUUUUGGCAGAGAGGCGGUAUCUACAGAAUAAGCAACGGCUAACUACGUGCCAGCAGCCGCGGUAAUAC